GACGAACGCUGGCGGCGUGCUUAACACAUGCAAGUCGAACGGAAAGGCCCUGCUUUUGUGGGGUGCUCGAGUGGCGAACGGGUGAGUAACACGUGAGUAACCUGCCCUUGACUUUGGGAUAACUUCAGGAAACUGGGGCUAAUACCGGAUAGGAGCUCCUGCUGCAUGGUGGGGGUUGGAAAGUUUCGGCGGUUGGGGAUGGACUCGCGGCUUAUCAGCUUGUUGGUGGGGUAGUGGCUUACCAAGGCUUUGACGGGUAGCCGGCCUGAGAGGGUGACCGGCCACAUUGGGACUGAGAUACGGCCCAGACUCCUACGGGAGGCAGCAGUGGGGAAUAUUGCACAAUGGGCGGAAGCCUGAUGCAGCAACGCCGCGUGCGGGAUGACGGCCUUCGGGUUGUAAACCGCUGUCGCCUGUGACGAAGCGUGAGUGACGGUAAUGUGUAAAGAAGCACCGGCUAACUACGUG
rnacentral:rRNA from 1 species